rnacentral:lncRNA from 1 species
GUGAUGUUACAUUUUUGCCUUGCUCCUGACCUCAGAAAGCUUUGUGACAUAUUGCUGGGCUCAGCACCUAGAUGAUGUGAGUCUCUUGCCUGGACCCUGCCCACAGGGGGCAUUGUGACAUAUCUCUAAGUUCAUGAACUAUUUGAUGUGACUCUUCUCGCUUACUUGGACUUUGCCAUUAGAAGAGAUUGUGACGUGUCUCUGAUUCCAGCACCUAGGUGUUGUGACUCUCCUCGUUUGCCAGUGCUAUGCUCACAGAAGAAAAGAUUAUGACACAUCACUGGACCCCGCGACAAGGUUGUGAGUCUUUUUGACUGAGUCUUGAAUACGUAGAUCAUUGUGACAUAUUGCUGAGCCCUCACAGAAGAUUGUGACAUACAUCUGGCCCCAAACCCAGAACAAGCUGCAAGUGGUGACUCGGACGUGAUCAAGUGGUGACUCGGACAUGAUCAAGUGGUGACUCCGACGUGAUUGCCUUGAAGUUAUGCAUGGAGUAGGAUGACUCACCAAUCUUCGGGGAAUACCGGACUAGAGUGGAUCCCCAUAAAAUGAGUGAAGCCAUAAUAUGAGUUAGAGACUACUGAAAAAGCCCCUCCUGAUGAUGAAGGACCUGUCAUUGGAGAAUCGACCAAAACUGACAGUGAUAACUUGGAAGGCACCUGACAUUACCUGGGGACAGCUAAAGAAACUGGACCAACAGGGAACUAUCUGGCUUGCAUCUAUGGGAGCCCCUGAAACUGCAGAGAACCAGUUUCUUAUGUAUCUGAUGGUAAUUGGGGGAGCUUCUGAGAAGGCAUCUGCAAAUGGCUCUGUGCUGCCACUCAACCAACUAUGACCAGGGAAGAAUGAUAGAAGCUUACUUUGCAUUGGAUAAUCCGCAUGUUCUAAGAAUUAAAGAAGGGGGAAAUGUGAGGGGUGUAUGACAAUACAUUCAAGCUUAUGUACAAGGCAUUUGAGGUUGAGGCAUGGAAAAAUACUGAGGCACUGUGUGUAUGUUGUUUGUGCAUGAAACUGUAAUUCCUUGACCCUGAAAAUAGGACAAGGAAUAGAAUUUGUAAUAAGGAGUGCUGAACACAGCCUCCUAAGAAUGUGGUUUGAGUGCUUUUAGAUGUUAUAAACAAGGCCAUAUGUGCCUCAUGACCCGACCCCAAAUAGCCACCUUGUAGAUGUUUCUUGUUUGUCUAAAUUGUAGUUCAACUAGCCUUCUCAAUAAAUACUUGGCAGAUGAAUCUUAAAGCAGCACUGUCUUGGAGGAGCUGCUCCCCUCCCUUUCAGCUGUAAUUGUCUGAAUACUUAUUUCUUGGUGUUCACUGCAGAGCAAGCUGCAGCACAGCUGCCGGCAUUUAUUCAUGCAAGAUUCCAGCUUGCUUAUCUAUGUCUGCAGCUCAAUUUUACAGGCUGCUCUUUGUUAAAACAAAAAAAACAAAACAAAACAAACAAACAAAAAAAAAAACCAUAAUUUGUGGACUUCUUUUUAUUAAAAAGAAAACUUUACCAAUG